CCACUUCUGAAAGUCAAGAGUAAUACUAUCAGUACUACUACUAAUACUCUCUCAAAAAACACAUGCCACUUCCAAAAGGAAGCUACAGCCGGCAGACAAGUGCCUCUGGAAGGGAUCUCUCUGCAGCUAUCCAACAAUCAUUUGUUCACUAACCCUACCUCAGGCAGGGAAGGAGCUAGUUUGUGGAACAUUCGACAAAAUCAGAAGAUGAAAAUGGUUAAAAGGAAACCCAACUCCCCAGCUUCAGUGGGGACUUCUAAUACUACAACUUAUGCUUCCUUCCAGUCCAAAUUUCUUCAUUGCAAAGACCCCCCCGCAUCUAAACAGGUGCCUCAUGGCUACAUCUCCUCCCAUUCAUAAUCAUUCAACAUUCUGUGGCAUCUACAACAGUUGUUUAUAUAGAAAAGUAAUAUUAGGAAAAUGUGUUUUUGGCUCCUUUGGAUAAUAAGAGUUUUGUCUUUCGACUAGUUAAUCCCAUUGUUGGUUUUUGCUCUUCAUUUUGUCUCACCCCAAACCCACCUUGCUGUUCUGUUCCUUAGCUGGGGGCAAGACUGAGCAGCUGGCACCACGUGGUCUCCUAACUCUCUGUAGAACCUCAAACACUAUGCUGUAGUAUAUUAGAGGAGAGAAACAAGGGUGUCCCAGCACAAGGCUAGGAGGUAAUGUCUUUUAAAUGUGGCUUCAGCGGUCCAACAGUCCCACAAGAUUCCUGGCAAAAGUUGAGAUGUUCCAUAGCUGUGAUAUGGCCAGUUUGGAGAAUUAUGUUCUGCCUCCCUAAAGUUCUCAUUCUUUCUUAAAAACUCUGUAUAGUUCACUGUUGCCUUCCACUCCAGGGGUGGAAUGUUCUCUAUAUAUUGUAGUUUAGGGUCCUUGGGGAUCAUCCAGACUGAAGGGUGGUAACUUAGUAUGAACUGCAGCAAGGUAAAAAAAAAAAAAAAAGGAAAGUGAUCAGUCUGUAUUAAAUUAAUACCUACCACUCAUGGCUUUCUCUGGAGAUUCUUCCACAAUACUGAUGUCAGAGCCAGGAUUAGAACACCUUGGAGAAACAGUGAAAACGUUUCAGAUUCCCCAUAACACCAUGCCUGGUUUGUGAGUAAACUAAACAUUUGUUUUUCAGAGCUGCAGAGAGCACCAUUUGCUAACAAAGGCCACAUCAACAAGUUGCAAGGUAGUCUCAAUGUGUGAUUAGUAGGCAUUGCCUCCCAUCAAGAGAUCAAUCUGGCCACAGGAUGUCUUUCCAGCUGUGGCACAAACAAGUAACAGACAGGAGAACAGGCCCAACUUCAGCUGAGAUUUCCCUUUGUUCUCAUUAGUAACUCACUCUAUAAAACACACCACCAAACCAGCCUUUGUAGGGGAACCCUAAGAACUGGCACCCAACUUUGCCUGACGGGCACAAUGGCAACUUGAUGCAAGCAUGAGAGAUACACUUAAUAUGCAUGAUGAAGCAGGUGGUAGUUGUCCUCACUUAAAUGCUGGGUUGUAGUCUCCUCAAAUUGUCUUGCUGUAUCCACACUGCUAAAUUCCAUAGUACUUGUUUGGUCUGACGUCCACAUCUUGGCCACCCAGCACUUGGUUAAAAACAUUUCAGAACUACCCAAUAUCAUUCACUCACCGGCCUUUGAUCUGUUUAUGAAGCAGCCUCCUGGAGAUCUGUUUGUGCAGCGGUGUCUCUGAGACUCUCUUGGUCAGUAGCUUGCGAUGAUCUGAAAGUGACGAAGCCACAAUCAGACAUUUAAAACAAGCCUGUGAGCAGCAGACGCAUAAAAAAAGAUUAAAAGAUCCAAGCUGCCUUCUGGACAGGAAGAUCCCAGACACAGGCAAUUGCGUAAGCUCAUAUCCCACCUCUACCAUCCUCGUCAGAGCAGCUGCGUUUGCAUCUCAGACCUUCCACAGCUGAUACUGACUGGCUUCGAGGCAUCUUCUUCAGGGACCUUUUUGAUGGAGAAAGCAUCUCUUCAUUGAAGAGGUUCCGUCGCACUUUUGUCACCUCUGAAAGGACCAGAAAUGGCAAAAACUGAAUAGAUGUACCACAAAGGUUCCUGAACAAAUAUAUUGCACAGUGUGACUCCUCCACAGAAUGGACUUGAUAUCUGUACAGAUCAGUGACACUAUUAAGACUGCAGGAUAUCCCAGAGCAUACAAAACAUUCAGCACACAUGGAGUUAGAUAGCAAAUUCCUUGUUCGUGUGGGUUUCAUUUAACUCCAUUGUAGUCUAAAAUCUGGUGGAGUUUGAUUUGAUUUCUUUUAAAAAAUAAACAAAUACUCCAACCUGGGGUAUGGAACCCCUCCCAGAAGAGAAAUUGGGCAACAGAUCACAAAGACAGGAUUCAAAUUCAUUUACCUGGCUAAUCAAUUUACACAAUAGGCCAUGAUGUUCCCAUGGAGCAUGAUUAAGUUGUUUAAAACUAGCAUUAGUCAUUAAUCCAGAUAUAAAGAAUGUAGUUUGACAAAUUUUUAACUAAAAUGUCUUCUGGGUUUAAUUUAUGUCAAGGGCCCAAGCCACAAUUCUCUCUUACAAGCCCAUCAUGGCACAGUUCCAUUUCCAUGGACAAAACAACCAUAUUCCCAGAAGCAUGGCACAGCUUUUAACGUAAUUUAAUGGAUUUAUGGCCUGAAUAGCAUGAACUAAUUCAUUAGAUACUUACCAAGAUCAGCCCUGGUUAGUUAUCCAGCAACUGAGCUCACCAUGAUGGGGACUAUAGAUUAGAUAGCUACUCAGUCACAGGGUUGUGAACAAAAUAAAACCCUCCCCCUUAGGAAAUACCUCCUCCUCUUUUUGGCAGAUCUGGUGCGCAGCUCCUCCAAUUGAUCAGUCUCAGUGCUUAGGGAAGCUGUGCUGUGAGCUGGGACCGAUGUCACAGAUGGAGGAAGAGUUGGAGAUCUACUAUCCAGAGUCAUCGAGUCAUCACUGAAGAAGUCUGCAGGCAGAACAGAUGCCAACUUCGGAGGAAUCUGUGUACCCAGACUGUAGUAAAGACCACCAAGGGUCUUCGGUAUGGAGUCCAUAUAUCUAGAAGGUACCACCGGAUAAACAAUAUAGGUACCUAACCAAGCCUAUAUUCCAGUGAUAACAUUUAAUAUUUAAUCAUCACCAUAAAGCACUUACGAUACUAAGACUUCCUCAAGAAACUUCGUAAGGUACCCUGGGUCUUCAGUGAGACACAAAAUGCGCAGCAUAUCGGUCAUCUGUAAGAGAAGAUCAGAUGGGGAGGAAAUGUCACAGAUCAACCACUCCAAGACCAGCCUUAUGGUGUGAGCAAAGAAAAUUGGGCUGGGAAAGCUACAUGUUCCAGGUCAACAUUUCCAUUCCCAUCUAGAAGCCCAGCCCUAUUUACUUGCCUCCUCCACCAGUUGCUCCAUUUCAUCUGUUCUGCUCUGUAGCGAGGGACACUGCAGACACAUCUCAAGGCGCAGAAAUACCUGAAGCUGACACCUACACAGAAACAGAUUGACAUCAUACUGUUGUCGGAGAGUUUUGCUGGUCUUCAGGAGAUGACUUCGGACUCUGUCCAGACAAGCCACCUGUAAAUACACAGAAACAUAGCACGGGGCUCCAAGAAAGCUUUUAAUGGCUGUGACCAUAUUCCGUGCACACACAAACGUCAGAAAUUCUCCAUUAACCACAGCCUCUCGGUAAUUUGCAGUUAAAUGGGAAAGCAUCUCCUCUUCAGUUUUGAAAUCUGCAAGUUUAUCAUCUGAUCUCCGUAACAGCUUCUGGGGUACCUUCUCACCAGCUGCUGGUGGCACUCCAUCUGGCUGAAACUUUUGAGCCUUUACAUUCAGCCUUGCUACAUUCAACAUUUGUAGGGAGCGGGACAUGGUCUUCAUCUUCUGCCUGACUGGAGUCCGGGGGACCCCCCCUGUAGGAUCACAAAAGGUUAAAUUCUCAUCGGGCACAGAGGAGUUGGAAUUCAGACAGAGUGAUCACAAGAUACCAUCCGGCAGAACACUGGCACCACAAGACAGGCUAGAUGCUACAUCGUUAAAAUAAAUUUUUGGUUGUUUAAAAUGUAAAUUUCAAUACAGCAAUGUUAGCUUCCCUCGGCACAGCGGUGGGGCAAUAAGAAUUCAGAAUGUGAGGAAAAGACUCAGGCUGGUGGUUCUGUCUGUUUCACUAGGCUCAGCCUCCUUUUUGAAGAAUGGAUCUCCAGCUCACCUAGGAAAGAAUAGAGACUGCUAACUGUUUUCAGUUAGCUAGCCACAGUAUGAUCUUGGAACGUACGCAACACACGUACCCAACGUAAUCGUAAUGUAUAGAUACGCUGCUCUCAAACAGUUAUUCCGGGCACCUGGCCUUUGCUUAGUGCUUUCUACAAGAGAAAUGGUACUAGAGGGGCAACCCCAUGAGUAAUUGAAAAGGAGCCAAGGGUAAGUAGCUUCAUCUUAGAGUAAGGACGAGAGUACCAUGUUACACAAGGGGGAGAAUGUUAGAGCAAGCUCAGCUUCCUGUUGUCCAACAGACAACAGUUGUAUCCUGGACUAAAAACCUGGCUGGAAGCCAAACUGUUUUUAGCUCAGAACAUGGUUUUUUACCAGCUUAACAAAAGGUUUCCCCAAUCUGUUGUUUCAAAAUGGGCUCUCAAAUUGAGGGGGGGGGGAAUGGCUUAAAAAAUU